rnacentral:rRNA from 2 species
AUUGAUUGGUGCUUGCAUCAUGAUUUACAUUUGAGUGAGUGGCGAACUGGUGAGUAACACGUGGGAAACCUGCCCAGAAGCGGGGGAUAACACCUGGAAACAGAUGCUAAUACCGCAUAACAACUUGGACCGCAUGGUCCGAGUUUGAAAGAUGGCUUCGGCUAUCACUUUUGGAUGGUCCCGCGGCGUAUUAGCUAGAUGGUGGGGUAACGGCUCACCAUGGCAAUGAUACGUAGCCGACCUGAGAGGGUAAUCGGCCACAUUGGGACUGAGACACGGCCCAAACUCCUACGGGAGGCAGCAGUAGGGAAUCUUCCACAAUGGACGAAAGUCUGAUGGAGCAACGCCGCGUGAGUGAAGAAGGGUUUCGGCUCGUAAAACUCUGUUGUUAAAGAAGAACAUAUCUGAGAGUAACUGUUCAGGUAUUGACGGUAUUUAACCAGAAAGCCACGGCUAACUACGUGCCAGCAGCCGCGGUAAUACGUAGGUGGCAAGCGUUGUCCGGAUUUAUUGGGCGUAAAGCGAGCGCAGGCGGUUUUUUAAGUCUGAUGUGAAAGCCUUCGGCUCAACCGAAGAAGUGCAUCGGAAACUGGGAAACUUGAGUGCAGAAGAGGACAGUGGAACUCCAUGUGUAGCGGUGAAAUGCGUAGAUAUAUGGAAGAACACCAGUUGGCGAAGGCGGCUGUCUGGUCUGUAACUGACGCUGAGGCUCGAAAGUAUGGGUAGCAAACAGGAUUAGAUACCCUGGUAGUCCAUACCGUAAACGAUGAAUGCUAAGUGUUGGAGGGUUUCCGCCCUUCAGUGCUGCAGCUAACGCAUUAAGCAUUCCGCCUGGGGAGUACGGCCGCAAGGCUGAAACUCAAAGGAAUUGACGGGGGCCCGCACAAGCGGUGGAGCAUGUGGUUUAAUUCGAAGCUACGCGAAGAACCUUACCAGGUCUUGACAUACUAUGCAAAUCUAAGAGAUUAGACGUUCCCUUCGGGGACAUGGAUACAGGUGGUGCAUGGUUGUCGUCAGCUCGUGUCGUGAGAUGUUGGGUUAAGUCCCGCAACGAGCGCAACCCUUAUUAUCAGUUGCCAGCAUUAAGUUGGGCACUCUGGUGAGACUGCCGGUGACAAACCGGAGGAAGGUGGGGAUGACGUCAAAUCAUCAUGCCCCUUAUGACCUGGGCUACACACGUGCUACAAUGGAUGGUACAACGAGUUGCGAACUCGCGAGAGUAAGCUAAUCUCUUAAAGCCAUUCUCAGUUCGGAUUGUAGGCUGCAACUCGCCUACAUGAAGUCGGAAUCGCUAGUAAUCGCGGAUCAGCAUGCCGCGGUGAAUACGUUCCCGGGCCUUGUACACACCGCCCGUCACACCAUGAGAGUUUGUAACACCCAAA